rnacentral:rRNA from 1 species
UACGAACCGUGCGAACGUUAUUCGGAAUCACUGGGCUUAAAGCGCGUGUAGGCGGGCCGGCACGUCGGCUGCUGAAAUCCCCCGGCUCAACCGGGGAAGGGGCACCGAUACGACCGGCCUGGAGGGGGGUAGGGGGGACGGGAACUUCCGGUGGAGCGGUGAAAUGCGUUGAGAUCGGAAGGAACGCCCGCGGCGAAAGCGCGUCCCUGGACCCCACCUGACGCUGAGACGCGAAAGCCAGGGAGCGAACGGG